rnacentral:lncRNA from 1 species
GGUGGAGGGAGGGCCUCAGUUAUUCGAUCUGCUGCCUCACAUCUACAGUUCGUGCUGGUAUUAGAGAGGUGGGAUUAUGUCGAAGCUGUGAAGGAUGAAGAACACACUCUACUCUUGGCCUCUCUUCAUCCUAACUAGGUUGAUUGGAGUAGUUAUCUUCCCUCUUCUUGCCAGAACUAAAAUGUGGAGGGCAUAUCAAGCGGUUGUGGAUGCUUUUGGUGUUAAACAUAUCAGAAGAGAGGAAGUAUUUAAACGUCAAAUCUUUAAGAGACUUUUAAAAAAUAAUUUAAAGAAAGGACGGUAAAGAAGUAGCUGCCCGAGAAGACUGGAGACUACUGCCACCA